rfam:Gossypium raimondii chromosome 8, whole genome shotgun sequence.
CCACUGGAGUUUUUAAACUCCACAAACAAUGUUAAGGGAUUGACA